rnacentral:rRNA from 1 species
UACGAAGGGUGCAAGCGUUACUCGGAAUUACUGGGCGUAAAGGGUGCGUAGGUGGUCGUUUAAGUCCGCUGUGAAAGUCCAGGGCUCAACCCUGGAAAGCCGGUGGAUACUGCCGGGCUAGAGUCCGGAAGAGGCGAGUGGAAUUCCUGGUGUAGCGGUGGAAUGCGCAGAUAUCAGGAGGAACACCAAUAGCGAAGGCAGCUCGCUGGGACGGUACUGACGCUGAGGUGCGAAAGCGUGGGGAGCAAACAGG